rnacentral:rRNA from 1 species
AUAUGAGGUCUGGCCUGCCCACUGAUUUGAUUGAAGGGCUGCGGUACUUUAACCGUGCGAAGGUAGCAUAGUCAAUAGUCCUUUAAUUGGGGGCUUGAAUGAACGGUUGGACAUGAAGAGAACUGUCUCAUAGAAUAAGGUGAAUUUAACUUUUAUGUGAAAAGGCAUUGAUGGGUUAGAGGGACGAUAAGACCCUAUAAAACUUUAUAGUUAGUUAUCGGGUCUUUUUAUAUAAGGUUAAAGUGGGAUUGGAUAGAGCUAUUACGCUGGGGCGGCGGGAAUAUAAGUAUUAGCUGUUCUUUAAAUUAAAAUAAUUAUAAUUAGAUUUUGACCCUUAACUUUGGUUUGUAAGUGUAAGUUACUUUAGGGAUAACAGCGUUAUUUCUCCUGAGAGUUCAUAUCGAUGGAGACAUUUGCGACCUCGAUGUUGAAUUAAAGCUGUCUUCGGGGGUAGAAAUUCGGAGGAUAGGUCUGUUCGACCUUUAAAGCUUUACAUGAUUUG